UACGGAGGGUGCGAGCGUUGUUCGGAAUUACUGGGCGUAAAGGGCGCGUAGGCGGCCGUUUGCGUCGGAUGUGAAAGCCCGGGGCUCAACCUCGGAACGGCAUUCGAUACGGGACGGCUAGAGACCGGGAGAGGAGAGUGGAAUAGCCAGUGUAGAGGUGAAAUUCGUAGAUAUUGGCUGGAACACCGGUGGCGAAAGCGGCUCUCUGGCCCGGUUCUGACGCUGAGGCGCGAAAGCGUGGGGAGCAAACAGG
rnacentral:rRNA from 1 species